rnacentral:rRNA from 1 species
GAAGCAGCUUGCUGUUUCGCUGACGAGUGGCGGACGGGUGAGUAAUGUCUGGGAAACUGCCUGAUGGAGGGGGAUAACUACUGGAAACGGUAGCUAAUACCGCAUAACGUCGCAAGACCAAAGAGGGGGACCUUCGGGCCUCUUGCCAUCGGAUGUGCCCAGAUGGGAUUAGCUAGUAGGUGGGGUAACGGCUCACCUAGGCGACGAUCCCUAGCUGGUCUGAGAGGAUGACCAGCCACACUGGAACUGAGACACGGUCCAGACUCCUACGGGAGGCAGCAGUGGGGAAUAUUGCACAAUGGGCGCAAGCCUGAUGCAGCCAUGCCGCGUGUAUGAAGAAGGCCUUCGGGUUGUAAAGUACUUUCAGCGGGGAGGAAGGGAGUAAAGUUAAUACCUUUGCUCAUUGACGUUACCCGCAGAAGAAGCACCGGCUAACUCCGUGCCAGCAGCCGCGGUAAUACGGAGGGUGCAAGCGUUAAUCGGAAUUACUGGGCGUAAAGCGCACGCAGGCGGUUUGUUAAGUCAGAUGUGAAAUCCCCGGGCUCAACCUGGGAACUGCAUCUGAUACUGGCAAGCUUGAGUCUCGUAGAGGGGGGUAGAAUUCCAGGUGUAGCGGUGAAAUGCGUAGAGAUCUGGAGGAAUACCGGUGGCGAAGGCGGCCCCCUGGACGAAGACUGACGCUCAGGUGCGAAAGCGUGGGGAGCAAACAGGAUU